GACGAACGCUGGCGGCGUGCCUAAUACAUGCAAGUAGAACGCUGAAGCGAGGAGCUUGCUCUUCUUGGAUGAGUUGCGAACGGGUGAGUAACGCGUAGGUAACCUGCCUUGUUGCGGGGGAUAACUAUUGGAAACGAUAGCUAAUACCGCAUAACAAUGGAUGACACAUGUCAUUUAUUUGAAAGGGGCAAUUGCUCCACUACAAGAUGGACCUGCGUUGUAUUAGCUAGUAGGUGAGGUAACGGCUCACCUAGGCGACGAUACAUAGCCGACCUGAGAGGGUGAUCGGCCACACUGGGACUGAGACACGGCCCAGACUCCUACGGGAGGCAGCAGGAGGGAAUCUUCGGCAAUGGGGGCAACCCUGACCGAGCAACGCCGCGUGAGUGAAGAAGGUUUUCGGAUCGUAAAGCUCUGUUGUAAGUCAAGAACGAGUGUGAGAGUGGAAAGUUCACACUGUGACGGUAGCUUACCAGAAAGGGACGGCUAACUACGUG
rnacentral:rRNA from 1 species